AAGUCGUAACAAGGUUUCCGUAGGUGAACCUGCGGAAGGAUCAUUAAUGAAAUUAUGACUGAGGUUGUAGCUGGUCCCUUCAUCGGGGCAUGUGCACGCCUCUUUCACAAUCCACAUACACCUGUGCACCUUUGCGUGAGCUUGGGAACCAGCAGCGAUGCUGAAGUACCGGGUUCGCGUCCUUUCACACACUCUUCUGUAUGUCUUAUGAAUGUCUACUCGAUGUAAUAAAACGCAUCUAAUACAACUUUCAACAACGGAUCUCUUGGCUCUC
rnacentral:misc_RNA from 1 species